UACAGAGGUCCCAAGCGUUGUUCGGAUUCACUGGGCGUAAAGGGUGCGUAGGCGGUUGGGUAAGUCUGACGUGAAAUCUCCGGGCCUAACCCGGAAACUGCGUUGGAUACUAUCCGGCUAGAGGAAUGGAGGGGAGACUGGAAUACUUGAUGUAGCAGUGAAAUGCGUAGAUAUCAAGUGGAACACCAGUGGCGAAGGCGAGUCUCUGGACAUUUCCUGACGCUGAGGCACGAAAGCCAGGGGAGCAAACGGG
rnacentral:rRNA from 1 species